AUUGAACGCUGGCGGCAGGCUUAACACAUGCAAGUCGAGGGGCAGCAUGGGCUUAGCUUGCUAAGCCCGAUGGCGACCGGCGCACGGGUGAGUAACACGUAUCCAACCUUCCGGUAACUCCGGUAUAGCCUUUCGAAAGAAAGAUUAAUCCCGGAUAGUAUGGUGAUUCCGCAUGGUUUCUCCAUUAAAGGAUUCCGGUUACCGAUGGGGAUGCGUUCCAUUAGGCAGUUGGCGGGGUAACGGCCCACCAAACCUACGAUGGAUAGGGGUUCUGAGAGGAAGGUCCCCCACAUUGGAACUGAGACACGGUCCAA
rnacentral:rRNA from 1 species